rnacentral:tRNA from 1 species
ACUUUUACAGGAUGGGAGUGAUCCAUUGGUCUUAGGAACCAAAAAACUGGUGCAACUCCAGAUAAAAGUA